rnacentral:rRNA from 1 species
AACGCGAAGAACCUUACCUGGGCUAGAAUGCAUAUUGACCGUGGGUGAAAGCUCACUUUGUAGCAAUACACAAUUUGUAAGGUGCUGCAUGGCUGUCGUCAGCUCGUGCCGUGAGGUGUUGGGUUAAGUCCCGCAACGAGCGCAACCCCCAUCAUUAGUUGCCAUCAGGUAAAGCUGGGAACUCUAAUGAAACUGCCGUCGUAAGACGCGAGGAAGGAGGGGAUGAUGUCAAGUCAUCAUGGCCUUUAUGCCCAGGGCUACACACGUGCUACAAUGGAAGGGACAAAGAGCUGCCACUUGGCGACAAGGCGCUAAUCUCAAAAACCCUUUCUCAGUUCAGAUCGCAGUCUGCAACUCGACUGCGUGAAGCUGGAAUCGCUAGUAAUCGUAUAUCAGCAAUGAUACGGUGAAUACGUUCCCGGGCCUUGUACACACCG